rnacentral:rRNA from 1 species
GAUGAACGCUGGCGGCGUGCCUAAUACAUGCAAGUCGAGCGAACAGACGAGGCGCUUGCUCCUCUGACGUUAGCGGCGGACGGGUGAGUAACACGUGGAUAACCUACCUAUAAGACUGGGAUAACUUCGGGAAACCGGAGCUAAUACCGGAUAAUAUCUUGAACCGCAUGGUUCAAUAGUGAAAGACGGUUUUGCUGUCACUGAUAGAUGGAUCCGCGCCGCAUUAGCUAGUUGGUAAGGUAACGGCUUACCAAGGCAACGAUGCGUAGCCGACCUGAGAGGGUGAUCGGCCACACUGGAACGGAGACACGGUCCAGACUCCUACGGGAGGCAGCAGUAGGGAAUCUUCCGCAAUGGGCGAAAGCUUGACGGAGCAACGCCGCGUGAGUGAUGAAGGUCUUCGGAUCGUAAAACUCUGUUAUUAGGGAAGAACAAAUGUGUAAGUACCUAUGCACGUCUUGACGGUACCUAAUCAGAAAGCCACGGCUAACUACGUG